AUUGAACGCUGGCGGCAUGCUUUACACAUGCAAGUCGAACGGCAGCGCGGGCUUCGGCCUGGCGGCGAGUGGCGAACGGGUGAGUAAUGCAUCGGAACGUGCCCAGUAGUGGGGGAUAGCCCGGCGAAAGCCGGAUUAAUACCGCAUACGACCUGAGGGUGAAAGCGGGGGACCGAAAGGCCUCACGCUAUUGGAGCGGCCGAUGUCGGAUUAGCUAGUUGGUGGGGUAAAGGCUUACCAAGGCGACGAUCCGUAGCUGGUCUGAGAGGACGACCAGCCACACUGGGACUGAGACACGGCCCAGACUCCUACGGGAGGCAGCAGUGGGGAAUUUUGGACAAUGGGGGCAACCCUGAUCCAGCCAUGCCGCGUGCGGGAAGAAGGCCUUCGGGUUGUAAACCGCUUUUGUUCGGGAAGAAAUCCUCUGGGCUAAUACCCCGGGGGGAUGACGGUACCGGAAGAAUAAGCACCGGCUAACUACGUG
rnacentral:rRNA from 1 species